GCGUAAUAGCUCACUGGUCUAGUGAUUUUGCGCGGAAAAUAUAACGGGGCUAAAAUAAGUACCGAAGUCGUAGGCUUGAUUUAUCAAGCGGUAGGAGAGCGUUGCAUUCAGCGUUGAAGGUGUACCGGUAAGGAGCGCUGGAGCGGAUCGAAGUGAGCAUGCAGGCAUGAGUAGCGAUAAUUAAUGUGAGAAUCAUUAACGCCGUAAACCCAAGGUUUCCUACGCGAUGCUCGUCAUCGUAGGGUUAGUCGGGUCCUAANCAAAGUCCGAAANGGUAUGCGAUGGAAAAUUGGUUAAUAUUCCAAUACCUUUGAUUAUGUGCGAUGGAAGGACGCUUAAAGCUAGUGGGGCUAACUGAUGGAAUAGUUAGUCUAAGGAUGUAGGUUGAGUUAUAGGCAAAUCCGUAACUCUUUAUCUGAAAUCUUAAAGGCUUACAAAACUCUUCGGAGUAGCGUAAGAACCCAUGAUGCUAUCGAGCCAAGAAAAGUUUCUAAGUUUAGUAAUCAAAGCCCGUACCGUAAACCGACACAGGUGGGUGGGAUGAGUAUUCUAAGGCGCGUGGAAGAACUCUCUUUAGGGAACUCUGCAAAAUAGCACCGUAUCUUCGGUAUAAGGUGUGCCUACCAGGGUGUUAAAGCCCUAGUGGUUACAACAAAGAGUCCCUCCCGACUGUUUACCAAAAACACAGCACUCUGCUAACACGUAAGUGGAUGUAUAGGGUGUGACGCCUGCCCGGUGCUCGAAGGUUAAUUGAUGGGGUUAGCAUUAGCGAAGCUCUUG
rnacentral:rRNA from 1 species